rnacentral:piRNA from 1 species
UGCCACAUAAUGGGAUUCCAAAAUACA